UAAAACAAACUACGUUGCUGCUCUUAUGAAAAACAGUGGUAUAAUUUAUGCAAAUGAGAUGAAGGAGUCAAGACUCAAGUCGCUUACUGCAAAUUUACAUCGGAGCUAUGGAAAUUCUCUUAACGCCACAAUUAGAGCUAGUAGAUUUUGAGUAGGUGGGAAAUAACAUCAGGAGACUAGAGGAAAUCAGGAACUUAAGUACAGAGAUUUGAGAAUAUAGUUUACAAACCGAAGGAUAUUGUACACAAAAAAUGAAAGAAAAGUGUGAUGAAUUGGGAAUGUGCCUUGGGUGGUGUGCAUGGAGAGGGAGAUUUGGAAGUGAUUUCCUUUGUGCUCUUCGAUAGUAAUGGGUGGUGGACUGUACCCAUUCCAGAAACUAGGAAUGAACUUCUGGCACACUUCAAUCAAAAGAGUCUGAGGGAAGGAUGUUAAUUUUGCCUUCCAGUUUGAUGCAUCUAUGGAUUUAGCACUUCAGGUUAGAAUGCUUUCUUUGUGGUCUUCAGAUCUGGUGGUUUAAGUAAAUUGACACUUUUGUAAAAAUUGAUCUGGUUUAAGUAAAAUUGUAAAAAUUGAUGUUUAUUUUGAUGUUUAAGUAAAAACCAGGUUUUCA